GGGGCUGUAGCUCAACGGUAGAGCACUUCCCAAAAGGAAGUAGUUGCAGGUUCGAUUCCUGUCAGUCCCA
rnacentral:tRNA from 1 species